rnacentral:rRNA from 1 species
UGGCGGCAGGCUUAACACAUGCAAGUCGAGCGGAGUGAUGGUGCUUGCACUAUCACUUAGCGGCGGACGGGUGAGUAAUGCUUAGGAAUCUGCCUAUUAGUGGGGGACAACAUUUCGAAAGGAAUGCUAAUACCGCAUACGUCCUACGGGAGAAAGCAGGGGAUCUUCGGACCUUGCGCUAAUAGAUGAGCCUAAGUCGGAUUAGCUAGUUGGUGGGGUAAAGGCCUACCAAGGCGACGAUCUGUAGCGGGUCUGAGAGGAUGAUCCGCCACACUGGGACUGAGACACGGCCCAGACUCCUACGGGAGGCAGCAGUGGGGAAUAUUGGACAAUGGGCGCAAGCCUGAUCCAGCCAUGCCGCGUGUGUGAAGAAGGCCUUAUGGUUGUAAAGCACUUUAAGCGAGGAGGAGGCUACUGAAGUUAAUACCUUCAGAUAGUGGACGUUACUCGCAGAAUAAGCACCGGCUAACUCUGUGCCAGCAGCCGCGGUAAUACAGAGGGUGCAAGCGUUAAUCGGAUUUACUGGGCGUAAAGCGCGCGUAGGCGGCUAAUUAAGUCAAAUGUGAAAUCCCCGAGCUUAACUUGGGAAUUGCAUUCGAUACUGGUUAGCUAGAGUGUGGGAGAGGAUGGUAGAAUUCCAGGUGUAGCGGUGAAAUGCGUAGAGAUCUGGAGGAAUACCGAUGGCGAAGGCAGCCAUCUGGCCUAA